UACGUAGGGGGCUAGCGUUGUCCGGAAUCAUUGGGCGUAAAGCGCGUGUAGGCGGUCCGGUAAGUCCGCUGUGAAAGUCGGGGGCUCAACCCUCGGAUGCCGGUGGAUACUGUCGGGCUUGAGUACGGAAGAGGCGAGUGGAAUUCCUGGUGUAGCGGUGAAAUGCGUAGAUAUCGGGAGGAACAUCAGUUGCGAAGGCGGCUCUCUGGACCAGCACUGACACUGAGGCACGAAAGCGUGGGGAGCGAACAGG
rnacentral:rRNA from 1 species